rnacentral:rRNA from 1 species
CUUCGGGUGGAGCGGCGGACGGGUUAGUAACGCGUGGGAACAUACCCUUCUCUAAGGAAUAGCCACUGGAAACGGUGAGUAAUACCUUAUACGCCCUUCGGGGGAAAGAUUUAUCGGAGAAGGAUUGGCCCGCGUUAGAUUAGAUAGUUGGUGGGGUAAUGGCCUACCAAGUCUACGAUCUAUAGCUGGUUUGAGAGGAUGAUCAGCAACACUGGGACUGAGACACGGCCCAGACUCCUACGGGAGGCAGCAGUGGGGAAUCUUAGACAAUGGGCGCAAGCCUGAUCUAGCGAUGCCGCGUGUGUGACGAAGGCCUUAGGGUCGUAAAGCACUUUCGCCAAGGAUGAUAAUGACAGUACUUGGUAAAGAAACCCCGGCUAACUCCGUGCCAGCAGCCGCGGUAAUACGGAGGGGGUUAGCGUUGUUCGGAAUUACUGGGCGUAAAGCGCACGUAGGCGGACUAUUAAGUAGAGGGUGAAAUCCCAGGGCUCAACCCUGGAACUGCCUUCUAUACUGGUAGUCUUGAGUUCGAGAGAGGUGAGUGGAAUUCCGAAUGUAGAGGUGAAAUUCGUAGAUAUUCGGAGGAACACCAGUGGCGAAGGCGGCUCACUGGCUCGAUACUGACGCUGAGGUGCGAAAGCGUGC